CCACCCUUCUUGGACGUCAAGUUUUCUUCAUGCAAGAAUGAUUUUUGCGUGAGAUUAUUUCAUGCCUACACCCCUUCAUGCCCCCUUAUCCAUGCUAACACUCUCUUCUCAUCACCCCAUAUGGUAGGAUAAGGAAGUUUUGAAUUUGAUUUAAAACUAUCCUUAUCAAGAAGAGGUUGUUUCCAUCUUAACCAAACUCUAUUUGAUGCCUACCUUAGA
rnacentral:lncRNA from 1 species